rnacentral:rRNA from 1 species
UACGUAGGUGGCAAGCGUUGUCCGGAUUUACUGGGCGUAAAGGGAGCGUAGGCGGAUUUUUAAGUGAGAUGUGAAAUACCCGGGCUUAACUUGGGUGCUGCAUUUCAAACUGGAAGUCUAGAGUACAGGAGAGGAGAAGGGAAUUCCUAGUGUAGCGGUGAAAUGCGUAGAGAUUAGGAAGAACACCAGUGGCGAAGGCGCUUCUCUGGACUGUAACUGACGCUGAGGCUCGAAAGCGUGGGGAGCAAACAGGAUUAGAUACCCGGGUAGUCCCUGA